CCUACGGGUGACAGCAGUGAGGAAUAUUGGUCAAUGGCCGGAAGUCUGAACCAGCCAAGCCGCGUGAAGGACGAAGGUGCCAAGCAUUGUAAACUUCUUUUGUCAAGGGACAAAAUCAGGCUCGAGAGCCUGACCGCGGGUACUUGAAGAAAAAGCAUCGGCUAACUCCGUGCCAGCAGCCGCGGUAAUACGGAGGAUGUGAGCGUUAUCCGGAUUUAUUGGGUUUAAAGGGUGCGUAGGUGGACUGUUAAGUCAGCGGUAAAAGCCCGGGGCUCAACCCCGGCGUGCCGUUGAAACUGGCAGUCUUGAGAUGUCGAGAGGUAGGCGGAAUGCGCGGUGUAGCGGUGAAAUGCUUAGAUAUUGCGCAGAACUCCGAUUGCGAAGGCAGCAUACCGGCGGGGAUCUGACGCUGAGGCACGAAAGCGUGGGUAUCGAACAGGAUUAGAUACCCCAGUAGUC
rnacentral:rRNA from 1 species